rnacentral:tRNA from 1 species
GGAUAUAGCUCAGUUGGUAGAGUGCUUGCCUUGCGUGCAUCAAGGUACUGGGUUCAAUCCUCAGCACCA